AUUGAACGCUGGCGGCAUGCCUUACACAUGCAAGUCGAACGGCAGCACGGGAGCAAUCCUGGUGGCGAGUGGCGAACGGGUGAGUAAAGUAUCGGAACGUGCCCAGUCGUGGGGGAUAACGUAGCGAAAGUUACGCUAAUACCGCAUACGAUCAAUGGAUGAAAGCGGGGGAUCGCAAGACCUCGCGCGAUUGGAGCGGCCGAUAUCGGAUUAGGUAGUUGGUGGGGUAAAGGCUCACCAAGCCGACGAUCUGUAGCUGGUCUGAGAGGACGACCAGCCACACUGGGACUGGGACACGGCCCAGACUCCUACGGGAGGCAGCAGUGGGGAAUUUUGGACAAUGGGCGAAAGCCUGAUCCAGCCAUGCCGCGUGCAGGAUGAAGGCCUUCGGGUUGUAAACUGCUUUUGUACGGAACGAAAAGGUUUGGCCUAAUAAGCUGAGCUCAUGACGGUACCGUAAGAAUAAGCACCGGCUAACUACGUGCCAGCAGCCGCAGUAA
rnacentral:rRNA from 1 species